GAGGCAGAUCAAGACGCAGGGCGCGGGUAUUCCGCUCAUCCCUUCCACUGCCAAUGCUUGAAAUUCGGAAGCAUUGAUUCAUUGGCGUCACCGGUCAAAGGAAUUUAUGUUCUCUCUUGCCUCCAUUUGCAAAUUAUAACUGGUUUGUUUCCGACCAAUAACAUUCAGAUGUUGCACAAAACUGAACCGAUAGUUGCUCAGCUGUUUUCUUCUUAAGCUUGUUGAUCUCGAAGUUUCGUGACUGUAAUAAGAUAUAUGUUU
rnacentral:misc_RNA from 1 species